rnacentral:misc_RNA from 1 species
GGAUGAUAUUUCGCCUCACGCCUCCCCUUGCCCCACAAACAUAUCAUCUUUUUUUUGAUGGCCUAUCAAGGAUAUAUUAUCAUACAUAUUAGGACACAACAAUUUAAAAAAUGGCCAAAUAAAAGGGGUUUGAAAAACGAGAACAUGAAUCAUAACUAAAACUAAGCAAAAUUUUUCCUAAAUGCUCAGCUUGUAACUCCACUUUCUGGUUGAGCUAAAACAAAUGCAUAGAAAUCAUAAUAAAUAAGCUGAACUAU